ensembl:ncRNA T18H9.9 ncRNA
AAAGGAUUUUUGUGUCUCUGGCGACAACGGAAACCCCCACAUUUCCGGGUCCUUCUCUUUUUUCCAGCACACACAGAGUGGUAUCGGCAAACGUCUCAGUCAAUCAGAUUCAACGAUUUAGUUGGUUGAUAUAUCAGCAAGUUCGAUCUUUCGCGUGGAGGAUGAUUGAUGCGUUGUCCUGUCAGUUCGAAUUCCCUAGAUGCGUUUGAUGGAACAUUCUUUUCACGUAUUUUCCGUGCUCUCGCGCCU